GAUGAACGCUAGCGGCAGGCUUAAUACAUGCAAGUCGUGGGGCAGCGCAGGUAGCAAUACUAGGCGGCGACCGGCAAACGGGUGCGGAACACGUACACAACCUUCCGAGAAGUGGGGAAUAGCCCAGAGAAAUUUGGAUUAAUACCCCGUAACAUAACGAUGUGGCAUCACAUUGUUAUUAUAGCUUCGGCGCUUCUUGAUGGGUGUGCGGCUGAUUAGAUAGUUGGCGGGGUAACGGCCCACCAAGUCUACGAUCAGUAGCUGAUGUGAGAGCAUGAUCAGCCACACGGGCACUGAGACACGGACCCGACUCCUACGGGAGGCAGCAGUAAGGAAUAUUGGUCAAUGGACGCAAGUCUGAACCAGCCAUGCCGCGUGAAGGAUUAAGGUCCUCUGGAUUGUAAACUUCUUUUAUCUGGGACGAAAAAAGGCGAUUCUUCGUCACUUGACGGUACCAGAUGAAUAAGCACCGGCUAACUCCGUGCCAGCCGCCGCGGUAAGAC
rnacentral:rRNA from 1 species